rnacentral:tRNA from 1 species
CCCGCACGAUGGUGGAUGGACCGCGCUCGUCGCGGACGGGCUCGGCCAUGGCCCCCUGGCCGCACAGGCGUCCGAGGCGGCCGUGCGCGUC